GACGAACGCUGGCGGCGUGCCUAAUACAUGCAAGUAGAACGCUGAAACUUGGUGCUUGCACCGAGCGGAUGAGUUGCGAACGGGUGAGUAACGCGUAGGUAACCUGCCUGGUAGCGGGGGAUAACUAUUGGAAACGAUAGCUAAUACCGCAUAAGAGUAGAUGUUGCAUGACAUUUGCUUAAAAGGUGCAAUUGCACCACUACCAGAUGGACCUGCGUUGUAUUAGCUAGUUGGUGGGGUAACGGCUCACCAAGGCGACGAUACAUAGCCGACCUGAGAGGGUGAUCGGCCACACUGGGACUGAGACACGGCCCAGACUCCUACGGGAGGCAGCAGUAGGGAAUCUUCGGCAAUGGACGGAAGUCUGACCGAGCAACGCCGCGGGAGUGAAGAAGGUUGUCGGAUCGUAAAGCUCUGUUGUAAGAGAAGAACGAGUGUGAGAGUGGAAAGUUCACACUGUGACGGUAUCUUACCAGAAAGGGACGGCUAACUACGUG
rnacentral:rRNA from 1 species